rnacentral:rRNA from 1 species
AGGAUAAACGCUGGCGGCGUGCCUAACACAUGCAAGUCGAACGCGCUUUCGGGCUUCGGUGCGAGAGCGAGUGGCGGACGGGUGAGUAACACAUGGGUACCUGCCUUUCAGUGAGGGAUACCGGCGAGAAAUCGCCGACAAUACCGCAUGGGCUUGUGGGAACACAAGCAAAGUGGCGCAAGCCACGCUGGAAGAUGGGCCUGUGGCCGAUUAGCUAGUUGGGGGGUAAUGGCCUCCCAAGGCGACGAUCGGUAGCUGGUCUGAGAGGACGAUCAGCCACACUGGGAUUGAGAACGGCCCAGACUCCUACGGGGGGCAGCAGUGAGGAAUUUUCCGCAAUGGACGAAAGUCUGACGGAGCAACGCCGCGUGCAGGAGGAAGGUUUUCGGAUCGUAAACUGCUUUUCUCGGGGACGAGCAAAGGGACGGUACCCGGAGGAACGAAGCCCCGGACUAACCGUACGCGCCAGCAGCCGC